rnacentral:rRNA from 1 species
UACGGGGGGAGCAAGCGUUGUUCGGAUUUACUGGGCGUAAAGGGCGCGUAGGCGGCCACCGCAAGUCGAUUGUGAAAUCUCCGGGCUUAACCCGGAAACGGUCAACCGAUACUGCGGGGCUAGAGUGCGGAAGGGGCAACUGGAAUUCUUGGUGUAGCGGUGAAAUGCGUAGAUAUCAAGAGGAACACCUGCGGCGAAGGCGGGUUGCUGGGCCGACACUGACGCUGAGGCACGAAAGCGUGGGGAGCAAACAGG